UCAAGGUGAUGAGGUGAAUAUAAUUGUCAAAGUCAAAGGCUAAACGGCUCCAUGGAAAGCUCUCAGAAGGGAAAUACAAUCACAAGGAUAUCAUCUUGUCCUUGAUUCGUCAUCACUCUAUUUGAACUUUUUAAGAGAAAGCUAUGGACUAUGUAAACUGGACUUGCAGUUCAAUGACGGAAGGAGAGAGAUGAGAAGCAAUUUCUGGUUUCAUAUGAAAGAAGACAGUAGUCAACUUUGGAGUCUUCUAGUCUAGGAGGAUUUGUAUUUAUAUACUAUUCAAAAUAAUUAAGUUUUCCAUGAUAAUUUUUUUUU